rnacentral:lncRNA from 1 species
UAUGUUUUCUGGUCUGUGCGUCCGUUCGUCCGUCUGUCUGUCUGUCUGUCCGUUCGUUCGUCCGUCCGUUCGUUCGUCCGUCUGUCCCGCUUCAGGUUAAAGUUUUUGGUCAAGGUACUUUUUGAUGAAGUUAAAGUCCAAUCAACUUGAAACUUAGUAUACAUGUGCCCUAUGAUAUGAUCUUUCUAAUUUUAAUGCCAAAUUAGAGAAUUUAUUCCAAUUUCACGGUCCACUAAACAUAGAAAAUGAUAGUGCGAGUGGGGCAUCCGUGUACUGUGGACACAUUCUUGUUUUUAC